GUGCAGCAGGCGCGAAACCUGUACAAUGUGCGCGAGCACGAUACGGGAACUCCAAGUGUUCUUUCAUAUUGAAGGAACUGUUCAUCUGCCUAAAAAGCAGAUGGAGUAAGGGCCGGGUAAGACGGGUGUCAGCCGCCGCGGUAAUACCCGCGGCCCAAGUGGUGCUCAUUAUUAUUGAGCCUAAAACAUCCGUAGCCGGUUAGAUAAAUCCCUGGGUAAAUCGGGCAGCUUAACUGUCCGAAUUCCGGGGACACUAUCUAGCUAGGGAUUGGGUGAGGCAGUGGGUAUUCCUGGGGUAGGGGUAAAAUCCUGUAAUCCUGGGGAGACCACCGGUGGCGAAGGCGUCCCACUGGAACGGCCCUGACGGUGAGGAACGAAACCUAGGGGAGCGAGCCGGAUUAGAUACCCCUGUAGUCC
rnacentral:rRNA from 1 species